rnacentral:rRNA from 1 species
GACGAACGCUGGCGGCGUGCUUAACACAUGCAAGUCGAACGGAAAGGCCCUGCUUUUGUGGGGUGCUCGUGUGGCGAACGGGUGAGUAACACGUGAGUAACCUGCCCUUGACUUUGGGAUGACUUCAGGAAACUGGGGCUAAUACCGGAUAGGAUCUCCUGCUGCAUGGUGGUGGUUGGAAAGUUUCGGCGGUUGGGGAUGGUCUGGCGGCUUAUCAGCUUGUUGGUGGGGUAGUGGCUUACCAAGGCUUUGACGGGUAGCCGGCCUGUGAGGGUGACCGGCCACAUGGGGACGGAGAUACGGCCCAGACUGCAACGGGAGGCAGCAGUGGGGAAUAUUGCACAAUGGGCGGAAGCCUGAUGCAGCAACGCAGCGUGCGGGAUGACGGCCUUCGGGUUGUAAACCGAUUUCGCCUGUGACGAAGCGUGAGUGACGGUAAUGGGUAAAGAAGCACCGGCUAACUACGUG